UUUUAUGGAGAGUUUGAUCCUGGCUCAGGAUGAACGCUGGCGGCGUGCCUAAUACAUGCAAGUCGAGCGAACAGACGAGGAGCUUGCUCCUCUGACGUUAGCGGCGGACGGGUGAGUAACACGUGGAUAACCUACCUAUAAGACUGGGAUAACUUCGGGAAACCGGAGCUAAUACCGGAUAAUAUAUUGAACCGCAUGGUUCAAUAGUGAAAGACGGUUUUGCUGUCACUUAUAGAUGGAUCCGCGCCGCAUUAGCUAGUUGGUAAGGUAACGGCUUACCAAGGCAACGAUGCGUAGCCGACCUGAGAGGGUGAUCGGCCACACUGGAACUGAGACACGGUCCAGACUCCUACGGGAGCAGCAGUA
rnacentral:rRNA from 1 species